UUUGGCAUAAAAAAUAGUGUUGGUUGGAGAUGGUCUCACAGGAGAAAUCCGAAAAGUUCAGAGACAAAAAGAAUGAGGAUUUGCAGAGAGUUGAAGAGAAAAGUUCAAAGGGCUGUUGCUUGAUUUCAAUUUUUGCUGAAAAAAAAUGAUAAUUUCAACAGCAUUUUUGCAGUUAAACACCUAGCAAACGACGCCUUUGCUCGAAUCAUAUAGAGAGCAUUUGGACCCGUAUCUUGGCGGGGCAACCCGGAUGGAAGGUGACCUAGAAACCGGUGCUUGCAGCCAUGGCGGUGAUUUGAGUCUCUCUUUGCUGUAUUGUAAGUAUUACAUAUCUGAGCCUCAUUG